rnacentral:rRNA from 1 species
GAUGAACGCUGGCGGCGUGCCUAAUACAUGCGAGUCGAGCGAACAGACGAGGAGCUUGCUCCUCUGACGUUAGCGGCGGACGGGUGAGUAACACGUGGAUAACCUACCUAUAAGACUGGGAUAACUUCGGGAAACCGGAGCUAAUACCGGAUAAUAUAUUGAACCGCAUGGUUCAAUAGUGAAAGACGGUUUUGCUGUCACUUAUAGAUGGAUCCGCGCCGCAUUAGCUAGUUGGUAAGGUAACGGCUUACCAAGGCGACGAUGCGUAGCCGACCUGAGAGGGUGAUCGGCCACACUGGAACUGAGACACGGUCCAGACUCCUACGGGGGGCAGCAGUAGGGAAUCUUCCGCAAUGGGCGAAAGCCUGACGGAGCAACGCCGCGUGAGUGAUGAAGGUCUUCGGAUCGUAAAACUCUGUUAUUAGGGAAGAACAAAUGUGUAAGUAACUAUGCACGUCUUGACGGUACCUAAUCAGAAAGCCACGGCUAACUACGUG